AUAUCUUUCUCCGCCUUUUGGCUAAGGUGAAGUGUAGUAUGUGUUUAUUAGCUUAAUAUCUGAAUCGUAGGCUUAAUGGCUCAUACGAUAUUAAAUUUAUUUUUUUGAGGGUGAGAACCUUUCAUAGUAGCUUGCUUGCAGAGGAGGAUUGAGCUUGAAUCAAGCUCAGAAACGAGCUUGAAUUGAGCUCAAAAA